AGUUGUCCUGCAGUCUCCGGGAGCAACUAUGUGGAGCACAGCCAAGAACUGUGGUGGCUUUUUUGGCAGCUAAUGCACACUGCUGGCUCAUAUCCAAAUGGUUAUCCACUAGGAUUCCAAGAUUCCUCUCACAGAUAGCGCCCAAUGUUCAAGUCUGUCAAGAUCUUUCUGUAACUUGAGCCUAUCUUCUGGAGUGUUGGCUAUUCCUGCCAGCUUGGUGUCAUCUGCAAAUUUGAUGAGUUCCCCAUCUAUCCCCUCAUCCAAGUCAUUGAUGAAGAUGUUGAAGAGUACUGGGCCUAAAACAGAGCCUUGGGGUACUCAACUGCAUACUUCCCUCCAACUGUGUUUCUUCACAGUGUUUAUCAGACAGGUUGUAUCUUGUACAUUAGAGGAUUCAGAAUAAACCAGAAAUUUAAUAUGGUAAGUUAGAGUGAAAUGAAAACAAUUAAGCUAAAUUACAAAAGGCUGAUCAAGUAACAUUAUGAAAUCUACUAAUAAGCAUAAUUAUUCUUAGCACACAUAUUCACUGCUUCAGAAGCAUCUAUAACCUCCAUUAACAUUAAUGGGAGCUCUCCUCAUGCAUCAGGCACAGAGUGGAACCUAAUAGGGCAUUACAGCUUCCAAGUGCUGUAUAAACAUGAACUAAUUAGUUCUCAUAACCAUGCUGCAUGGUGAGUGAAUAGGAAUGUAUUAAAAUAUACAUCUAAAAAGUCUCACUAUCGGGGAGCACUGGAAAUCUUCUCUGUGACAAGAACCAGUUAAAGAAUUGCUCUAACAUCUAGAGUGAGCUGGAUUUUACAGGUCAAAUUGGAAGGCCAACUGAAGGAAAAUAAUAUUAAUGUUGCUACUGGGAUGCUUUGUGACCACAAGGGUUUUUGUUGUUGUUCAUUUGUUUUGAUCAGCUCCAAUGUGAGGACCAAUUCUUAAAAGAUUAGGUUGAGCUUUAUGCUUUCUGAACCUCCGCUGCAUGGAAGAAGCUGAAAUUCUUUUCUUUUUUUUCCUGAACAAAAACCACUCAUUUCCAAGGUGCCAGGCUGUUUAAAUAAUUUCAGGAUUUAGUAUUUGAAACAGAAAUCAAAUAACUUAAAUGAAAAAUGAUAUGUCAGCAGAAUAAACUUAUUUCAGAAAAUUUAGUUCAUAAUCUUUUGCAAUCAGAGAGAAAAGAAAUAAGAGCUUUCUGCCUGUUUUUGCAGAACGUCUUCUUUAAAACGCUGAAUAAUUUUGAGCAAGGUUAUAUGAUAGAUUACAUGUGUUAUUAUGACUUGUAGAUGAAGCUUUUAUUGGGCUUCUUAAGCAUUGUAGUCUACAAUGUCAAAAAAUAAGGAGCUUGACAACACUUUUUCUGACUAACAAAAAAUAUCAGCUUUAUCAGUCUCUAUGAAAUGACUGCAGCUUGCAAAUGCUUAUGCCUUUUAAUAAAUUAUAACUUUUAUUCAGAAAGAUGCUACCAGACCCCUCCUGAAUUUUGGCAUCUAGUGGUGUCAGAAAAGCUGCCAUAGAACGUUUUUUCCCAAGAAGGCCUGUCUUUCCCCAUUCUGCAUGAUUUUCUGAAAGUAGAAAAUACUUUGUUCAGACAAGACUUUGAUGAUAUGUUCCUAUGUUACCUGCCCUUGUUAGUUUAGGUGCCUCUGGUUUUAUCAUCUCUUUUAAUUAUGUUAUUUUUGUUGCAGAUUUCCUACUAUGGAAAGACAUGUACAGUACAUUGAUGAUGAUCAUGAUGAUGAUUAAUAUGCAAAAUUUAAGCCCCCCACCCCCAAUUGAUUAGGGUGACAUAUAAAUCUAGCAAAACAGAAUUUUUUCUCCUUAAUCUAGUUCUUUUAAUCAAGUAAAUACAAUUGCUCUUUACAUUUUUACUUGCAUCAAUAAAAACCUAUUUUAACAUUCACCCAAGGAGAAUGUCUAAGCAUGACUUUUAUGGAACAUAUUAGG